rnacentral:tRNA from 1 species
GCGCCUGUAGCUCAACUGGAUAGAGCGUUUGGCUACGGACCAGGAGGUUUGGGGUUCGAAUCCCUACAGGCGUA